AUACUCCGAGAACUGAAAGGCUUUUUGAAGUCUUCGGAUGGAUAGAAGAACCCCUGAUGCCGUCGAGCCAAGAAAAGUUUCUAAGUUUAGCUAAUGUUGCCCGUACCGUAAACCGACACAGGUGGGUGGGAUGAGUAUUCUAAGGCGCGUGGAAGAACUCUCUUUAAGGAACUCUGCAAAAUAGCACCGUAUCUUCGGUAUAAGGUGUGGUUCGCUUCGUAUUAGGAUUUACUCCGAAAGCGAAGAAACUUACAACAAAGAGUCCCUCCCGACUGUUUACCAAAAACACAGCACUCUGCUAACUCGUAAGAGGAUGUAUAGGGUGUGACGCCUGCCCGGUGCUCGAAGGUUAAUUGAUGGGGUUAGCAUUAGCGAAGCUCUUGAUCGAAGCCCGAGUAAACGGCGGCCGUAACUAUAACGGUCCUAAGGUAGCGAAAUUCCUUGUCGGUUAAAUACCGACCUGCAUGAAUGGCGUAACGAGAUGGGAGCUGUCUCAAAGAGGGAUCCAGUGAAAUUGUAGUGGAGGUGAAAAUUCCUCCUACCCGCGGCAAGACGGAAAGACCCCGUGGACCUUUACUACAGCUUGACACUGCUACUUGGAUAAGAAUGUGCAGGAUAGGUGGGAGGCUUUGAGUAUAUGACGCCAGUUGUAUAUGAGCCAUUGUUGAGAUACCACUCUUUCUUAUUUGGGUAGCUAACCAGCUUGAGUUAUCCUCAAGUGGGACAAUGUCUGGUGGGUAGUUUGACUGGGGCGGUCGCCUCCCAAAUAAUAACGGAGGCUUACAAAGGUUGGCUCAGAACGGUUGGAAAUCGUUCGUAGAGUAUAAAGGUAUAAGCCAGCUUAACUGCAAGACAUACAAGUCAAGCAGAGACGAAAGUCGGUCUUAGUGAUCCGGUGGUUCUGUGUGGAAGGGCCAUCGCUCAAAGGAUAAAAGGUACCCCGGGGAUAACAGGCUGAUCUCCCCCAAGAGCUCACAUCGACGGGGAGGUUUGGCACCUCGAUGUCGGCUCAUCGCAUCCUGGGGCUGGAGCAGGUCCCAAGGGUAUGGCUGUUCGCCAUUUAAAGCGGUACGCGAGCUGGGUUCAGAACGUCGUGAGACAGUUCGGUCCCUAUCUGCCGUGGGCGUAAGAAGAUUGAAGAGAUUUGACCCUAGUACGAGAGGACCGGGUUGAACAAACCACUGGUGUAGCUGUUGUUCUGCCAAGAGCAUCGCAGCGUAGCUAAGUUUGGAAAGGAUAAACGCUGAAAGCAUCUAAGCGUGAAGCCAACUCUAAGAUGAAUCUUCUCUAAGCUCUCUAGAAGACUACUAGUUUGAUAGGCUGGGUGUGUAAUGGAUGAAAGUCCUUUAGCUGACCAGUACUAAUAGAGCGUUUGGCUUAUCUUU
rnacentral:rRNA from 1 species